rnacentral:rRNA from 1 species
GCAUAUCAAUAAGCGGAGGAAAAGAAACCAACAGGGAUUGCCCUAGUAACGGCGAGUGAAGCGGCAAUAGCUCAAAUUUGAAAUCUGGCCCCCUUUGGGGGUCCGAGUUGUAAUUUGCAGAGGGUGCUUUGGUGUUGGUGGCGGUCUAAGUUCCUUGGAACAGGACAUCGCAGAGGGUGAGAAUCCCGUUUGUGGUCGCCUACCUUCGCCGUGUAAAGCCCCUUCGACGAGUCGAGUUGUUUGGGAAUGCAGCUCUAAAUGGGAGGUAAAUUUCUUCUAAAGCUAAAUACUGGCCAGAGACCGAUAGCGCACAAGUAGAGUGAUCGAAAGAUGAAAAGCACUUUGGAAAGAGAGUCAAACAGCACGUGAAAUUGUUGAAAGGGAAGCGCUUGCAGCCAGACUUGCCCGUAGUUGCUCACCCAGGCUUUUGCCCGGGGCAUUCUUCUGCGGGCAGGCCAGCAUCAGUUUGGGCGGUUGGAUAAAGGCCUCUGUCACGUAUCAUCCUUCGGGAUGAACUUAUAGGGGAGGCGACAUGCAACCAGCCCGGACUGAGGUCCGCGCUUCUGCUAGGAUGCUGGCGUAAUGGCUGUAAGCGGCCCGUCUUGAAACACGGACCAAGGAGUCUAACAUCUAUGCGAGUGUUUGGGUGUCAAGCCCGAGCGCGUAAUGAAAGUGAACGGAGGUGGGAACCUUAGGGUGCACCAUCGACCGAUCCUGAUGUCUUCGGAUGGAUUUGAGUAAGAGCAUAGCUGUUGGGACCCGAAAGAUGGUGAACUAUGCUUGAAUAGGGUGAAGCCAGAGGAAACUCUGGUGGAGGCUCGCAGCGGUUCUGACGUGCAAAUCGAUCGUCAAAUUUGGGCAUAGGGGCGAAAGACUAAUCGAACUAUCUAGUAGCUGGUUCCUGCCG